GCACUCUAGACGAACUGCCGUUGACAAAACGGAGGAAGGUGGGGAUGACGUCAAAUCAUCAUGCCCCUUAUGUUCUGGGCUACACACGUGCUACAAUGGCCGGUACAGACGGACGCAAAGCCGCGAGGUGGAGCAAAUCCUAAAAAGCCGGUCUCAGUUCGGAUUGCAGGCUGCAAUUCGCCUGCAUGAAGUCGGAAUCGCUAGUAAUCGCAGGUCAGCAUACUGCGGUGAAUACGUUCCCGGGCCUU
rnacentral:rRNA from 1 species